rnacentral:rRNA from 1 species
UACGUAGGGUGCGAGCGUUGUCCGGAUUUAUUGGGCGUAAAGAGCUCGUAGGCGGUUUGUCGCGUCGGCCGUGAAAUCUCCACGCUUAACGUGGAGCGUGCGGUCGAUACGGGCAGACUUGAGUUCGGUAGGGGAGACUGGAAUUCCUGGUGUAGCGGUGAAAUGCGCAGAUAUCAGGAGGAACACCGGUGGCGAAGGCGGGUCUCUGGGCCGAUACUGAUGCUGAGGAGCGAAAGCGUGGGGAGCGAACAGG